GGUCGGUUUGGCCGGAUUUCACACAGGUGUUGCAUGGCUGUCGUCAGCUCGUGUCGUGAGAUGUUGGGUUAAGUCCCGCAACGAGCGCAACCCUCAUCCUUAGUUACCAUCAGGUUAUGCUGGGGACUUUAAGGAAACUGCCAGUGAUAAACUGGGGGAAGGUGGGGAUGAUGUCAAGUCAUCAUGGCCCUUAUGGAGUGGGCUACACACGUGCUACAAUGGUGAUUACAAUGGGCUGCAAGGUCGCAAGGCUGAGCUAAUCCUAAAAAAUCAUCUCAGUUCGGAUUGUUCUCUGCAACUCGAGAGCAUGAAGUUGGAAUCGCUAGUAAUCGUGGAUCAGCAUGCCACGGUGAAUACAUUCUCGGGUCUUGUACACACUGCCCGUCACGCCAUGGUAAUUGGUUUCACUCGAAGCU
rnacentral:rRNA from 1 species